AGAUUUUUUCCGAUUCCUAUAAUUAAGAUUUAAAAUUGAUCCAAUAGUCACUGGUUAAUAUUUAGUUGUAACAAAGUUUGAUUAAUUAGGAAUCAACAGGGUUUAUAACAUUUAACAGCUCCAUUUUCCCCUCAAAAUAUGAGCUCCAUUUUCCCCUCAAAAUAUGUGUAUAUACAAAAAAACAAAAAAAAAUCUGACUAAAACGAAUCCACCCAAAACGACGGUGAUAAUAGGUUUUUUGGAAGGGGAAGCAGAACCUGCUCCGUAGGUAACAUACGUCGUAUUACUCAUAUAAAAUACUUUGAUAAGCUAUAUCAAGUCAUUAUCCGUCUUUCAAUCAUAAUAUAGUAAUUGACUCUUAACUUAGUCUAAAACAUCACCAAAUUCGUAAACCAUCGGUCAUUGAAUUUGUCUAACCCUAAAAUUUGACCAAUUAUAAAAUUGUGAAAUUAUGAAAUUGAAACCCGUUUGUCACGACAAAGGAUAUAAAAGGACUACGGUAUUACCGGAAUAAAAAACUGACUGACAUCGAAAAAUCAAAAAGAACAAAGAACAACACUCAAAACUAAAGCAAGAUUUAAAAAAACAAUAAUGCAAUUAUUAGAGAUAUUUUAAUUUAUUUUUUUUGCUAAUAUCCUAAGUUUAAAGUGUACUUACUACGCCUACAAAAAUAUAAUGCUUAUUAUUCCUGACAAAAAUAGCC
rnacentral:lncRNA from 1 species